GAUGAACGCUGGCGGCGUGCCUAAUACAUGGAAGUCGAGCGAACAGACGAGGAGCUUGCUCCUCUGACGUUAGCGGCGGUCGGGUGAGUAACACGUGGAUAACCUACCUAUAAGACUGGGAUAACUUCGGGAAACCGGAGCUAAUACCGGAUAACAUGUUGAACCGCAUGGUUCAACAGUGAAAGACGGUCUUGCUGUCACUUAUAGAUGGAUCCGCGCCGCAUUAGCUAGUUGGUAAGGUAACGGCUUACCAAGGCAACGAUGCGUAGCCGACCUGAGAGGGUGAUCGGCCACACUGGAACUGAGACACGGUCCAGACUCCUACGGGAGGCAGCAGUAGGGAAUCUUCCGCAAUGGGCGAAAGCCUGACGGAGCAACGCCGCGUGAGUGAAGAAGGUCUUCGGAUCGUAAAACUCUGUUAUUAGGGAAGAACAAAUGUGUAAGUAACUAUGCACGUCUUGACGGUACCUAAUCAGAAAGCCACGGCUAACUACGUG
rnacentral:rRNA from 1 species